rnacentral:rRNA from 1 species
UUGGAGGGCAAGUCUGGUGCCAGCAGCCGCGGUAAUUCCAGCUCCAAUAGCGUAUAUUAAAGUUGUUGCAGUUAAAAAGCUCGUAGUUGAAUUUCGGGAUUCGUCGGUUGGUCGGGCUUCACUGUCCGCACUGACCUGACGGGUUCCUACCUUCUGAAUAACCAGCAUGCUAUUAAGUUAGUGCGUUGGGGAAGCAGAGCUAUUACCUUGAAAAAAUUAGAGUGCUUAAAGCAGGCUUGUGCCUGAAUAGAUUAGCAUGGAAUAAUAAAAUAGGACGGCAUGGUUCUAUUUUGUUGGUUUCUAGGAUCACCGUAAUGAUUAAUAGGGAUAGUUGGGGGCAUUAGUAUUCAAUUGUCAGAGGUGAAAUUCUUGGAUUUAUUGAAGACUAACUACUGCGAAAGCAUUUGCCAAGGAUGUUUUCAUUAAUCAAGAACGAAAGUUAGGGGAUCGAAGACGAUCAGAUACCGUCGUAGUCUUAACCAUAAACUAUGCCGACUAGGGAUCGGAUGAUGUUAAUUUUUUAAUGACUCAUUCGGCGCCUUACGGGAAAC